rnacentral:misc_RNA from 1 species
UCCAGCAGCCGCGGUAAUACGUUCCCGGGUCUUGUACACACCGCCCGUCACACCACGAGAGUUUACAACACCCGAAGCCGGUGGGGUAACCCGCAAGGGAGCUAGCCGUCGAAGGUGGGGUAGAUGAUUGGGGUGAAGUCGUAACAAGGUAGCCGGAUCGGAAGGUGCGGCUGGAUCACCUCCUUUCUAAGGAAAUACCCGAACCCGAUGAGGUUCGGAUAAACUUGGCAGUUUAUCGCUCACUCGUUGUCAGUUUUGAAAGAUCAAUUCAAUCCCGUUGUCAUAAGGGGUUCGGAAGAUUAUCUUUCAGUUUAGCUAUCCGUUUGGUGGCGAUGGCGGAGGGGAACCACGCGUUCCCAUACCGAACACGACCGUUAAGCCCUCCAGCGCCAAUGGUACUUAGACCGCAGGGUCUUGGGAGAGUAGGACGUCGCCAAGCGGGUGCUGCAAAGCACUUUUUAUUUUGUGGAUUUACUGCCAACUAUUUAUAGUUGAUUGCAGUGAAGAAGCAUGAUAAACUAUUUUUCCUGCCACGCGAGUGGUAAGGGAAACAACCCAUUUGCACCUUGAAAACUGGAUAACGAAAGAAAAGAGUUGCUGAAUCAUCCUUUAGCAACCAUGAUUUAAU